UCACUUUCAACAACGGAUCUCUUGGCUCUCGCAUCGAUGAAGAACGUAGCGAAGUGCGAUAAGUAGUGUGAAUUGCAGAAUUCCGUGAAUCAUCGAAUUUUUGAACGCAAAUUGCACUCUCUGGCACUCCGGAGAGUAUGCCUGUUUGAGGGUCGAUA
rnacentral:rRNA from 1 species